UUAAAUCACUUCUGACGUGGACAGGACACCGGGCUGCGCUCGCGUCCGCUCAGCCGGCCGCCCCGGUGCCCCGCGUGCGUCGCUCUUCUGUCCCGUGUCCGACGCUGCCCUUGGCGUUUCCCUUCCGCACAAGCAGCAGGUUUCCUGAUGUGUAGACCAGGUAGCGUCCUCUCAUCCCACAGUGCCGUUGGUAGUUGUGUGAAAACCCAACCAGCAUGGGGACGCCCUGUCUUGUGCCUCUUCUGUCCACCUGCCCAGAAUGCCCCGCGAAGGCACGAGUCCUCUGAGAAGCAGAGCAGCUGGACGAAGGGAGAGUGUGUCCUUGAUGAUGCCGAGAGGCUGAAACCUUGACAUUUUCCUGCGGUCGAGUUGUCUCCCCGUUUCCAGGGGUGGUGCGUCCACAGGGCCGGCGUGGGGUGUUCUGGGCACACCCGCCGCCUAAGGAUGCCCCUCCCCUGCCCGUGGUGGGGGGUCCGGGAGGAUCGUGGCAGGUGAUCGCCGGCCCCUCAGUUUCCUCUGUGAGACUGGGGCCUGGCUCUGCCCCGGGCAGCACCCCCCCCCCCCAGCACUGGGCUCCAUGCUGCCCCCAUGUCCAGAUCGGGGUCGGUCCUGGGCUGGCGAGGUGCCCACCGUCUCCUGGCCCCCUCGGGCCUGAGGGAGGUGCCCCAGCUGCUCCGGAGGAAGAGCCACUCUGGCUUCCAGAUCCGGGAAUUUUCGACAAGGCUGCACAAGACCGAGGAAGUGGGGUUCCCUUCCUCGGUUGGUGGGGCCGCCAAACGCCUGUCACUCAGGCCAGGGACCUGCCCACGUGUCAUCCUGUGGGCCUCCCUCUUCUUCCAGCCCGCGUCCAGUCCACAAAACUCAAACUAGUCUCCAGUCUGUCUGCCCCUCUGUCCCCUGCCAUCACCCGCGUCCUCGCUUGGGUCACCACCACAGCCGGACGGCUCCUCCUGCUGGCCUCCUGGCCCCACGCCCAGAUCGACACUCCACACGCUCCCAGAGUGAGAGUGAGCCCCGUGAGAUCCACAGGAGACACGUCCCCCUGAGUAGAUGUGUCGGUGGAGGAAGGGGACCCCACUUCCUGUUGCACCUGCAGAGCCCAGCACGACUCCUGUAGGUUCCGCGGAAUCAUCUCCGAUUGCCUCCCCUCCCUCCCUCUCAGGGAACCGGCCUCCUGGCUCCCCCUGCAAACCCCAAGUCUCCCUGCCUCAGGGCCUUUGCAUGUGCCACCCCCGCUUCCCCAGACCUGCUGCCUCAUGCCCUUCCAGUCUCUGCUCAAGUGUCAUCUCCUCAGAUAGUAGCUGUGACCACCUGCCCACGGAAGCCGUCUGCACCCUACAUCCUGUCCCUAUUUCCUGCACAGCUGUCUCCAUCCGAGAUUGAUUAUUCAUCACCUUUUGACCCACAGGAAUGGCAACCGCGUGAGAGCCAGAACCCCCUCUGUCUGUCUGUCUGCUGUUGGAUUCCUGCUCUGAGGACAGAGUCGGUUCUUGAUCUGCAUUCGUUGAGUCACUGAAGGGCUGGGAAGAACAAUAGAAUGGAACCUUAAGAAUUCUGAAAUUGGGAUCCUGGAACAUUCGAGUCAGAAGGAGCCCUUGGAAAUCGCUUAGUCAAACCCAUUCCCUUUGCAAUUGCGUGAACUGAGUCUCAGGAGGACAAGUGAUUUGCUUCACAUCUGAGGCCCCGGGGCUGCUGCUCGGUUAGAGGGACCCACGUAGCCCGCUGUGCUGUGUGCACCGGCUGAGGGGAGGCUCUCGGGACUUCUCCUCCCCUGACACACGGCCGAGGACAGUAGGGACAGGUGGCACAAAUAGGCC